UGGAGCAUGUGGUUAAUUCGAUGCAACGCGAAGAACCUUACCUGGGCUUGACAUCCCGGGAAUCCCCUGGAAACAGGGGAGUGCCCUUCGGGAACCCGGUGACAGGUGCUGCAUGGCUGUCGUCAGCUCGUGUCGUGAGAUGUUGGGUUAAAGUCCCGCAACGAGCGCAACCCUUGCUUUAAUUGCCAUCAUUUAGUUGGGCACUUUAAAGAGACUGCCGGUGUUAAGCCGGAGGAAGGUGGGGAUGACGUCAAAGUCCUCAUGGCCUUUAUGCCCAGGGCUACACACGUGCUACAAUGGGCGGUACAAAGAGAAGCAACCUCGCGAGGGUGAGCAAAUCUCAAAAAGCCGUUCUCAGUUCGGAUUGCAGGCUGCAAUUCGCCUGCAUGAAGUCGGAAUCGCCAGUAAUCGCAGGUCAGCAUACUGCGGUGAAUACGUUCCCGGGCCUU
rnacentral:rRNA from 1 species